CCCGCUGAACUUAAGCAUAUUAAUAAGCGGAGGAAAAGAAACUAACAAGGAUUCCCUCAGUAACGGCGAGUGAAGCGGGAAAAGCUCAAAUUGAAAAUCUGCCUGCCAAGCGGUAGGCCGAAUUGUAAUCUAGAGAUGCACUGUCAGUGGCUACCCUGGGUAUAAGUCCUUUGGAACAGGGCGUCAGAGAGGGUGAGAACCCCGUCUUUGACUCAGAGCGUACCGCGUACGGCGUGCAUUCGAAGAGUCGGUUUGCUUGGGAAUGCAGACCAAAAUGGGUGGUAAAUUUCAUCUAAAGCUAAAUAUCAGCGAGAGACCGAUAGCGAACAAGUACCGUGAGGGAAAGAUGAAAAGAACUUUGAAAAGAGAGUUAAAAAGUACUUGAAAUUGUUAAGAGGGAAGCGAUGGCAAUCAGUAUUGUACCGCGCAAUACUUGCGCUCAGUUUCGGAAAGCAGGUUUGGGCACGUUCUGUAUAGUCGGGCCCUGCUUGCCUGACCAGAGGCUGGGUGUUUCAGUUGUGCGGUACGGGUCAGCAUCAGUUCGGGCGGUCGGAUAAAGGUUUCGGGAAUGUAGCUCCUCUCGGGGAGUGUUAUAGCCCGUUGCGAAAUGCGGCCAGCCUGGACUGAGGUCCGCGCUUCGGCUAGGAUGCUGGCGUAAUGGUUGUAAGCGGCCCGUCUUGAAACACGG
rnacentral:rRNA from 1 species